ACUGGGUGUGGCGGCCCACACCUGUAAUCCCAGCAACUCAGGAGGCUGAAACAGGAGGAUGGAGAGUUCAAGGCUAGCCUCAGCAAUUUAGUGAGACCCUGUCUCAA
rnacentral:sRNA from 1 species